CCCUCCCACCAUCUACCGCAGCCACUUCCGCCCGUCCUCCGGAAGUGGGUCCGCGGCAACUGCCACCUCCCGUCAUCCCGCCUUAUCUCCCCCCGCCUAUCACCACCGCCACCAAGGGAGCACGGAACGUGACUCUGCAGGACUUGAGGUUGUUCUGCAGUUACUAUUCACAGAACUGGAGAAGAGGUGUGGGCAGGACAGAGUGCGGGUGAGAAAGGACAUGGGGACAAGAGUAAAGGCUGGGCAAGAAGGGGCGGGGCAGAGUGUGGCGGAAAGCCGGAGCUCGCGUCACGUCGAGCCGCGCGGGAAGAAGAGCGCAUGCGCCUGACACCUCGGCCCGGUGGUGAUGUUUGGUGCUUGGACAGCUUCGCCAGGCUGGACUUGGGCGGGAAGGGGGCGGAGCUAGAACCCGGAAGUGGGGGCGGAGUCGGCAAGGGGCAGUCUCGCCAGGUCCCCUCGGUUUUACUGUCACAACAACCUGCCUCUUUGGGGUUCUGAAGAAGGCCUAAGCUGGCCCACUCUCUGGAUUCGAGUCCUGGUGAGAAGCAAUUCUGGAAGCACCAAGGCCUGUGUUCACCCGUUCCUACGCUGAGAGCUCUGUAGCAGUACUAGAAGAAAGCUGUUUUGUUUAUUGCUUACUUUUCUCGCUGCAUCUCUAACGGAGGCAGGACCUUCCUUGGGUCUGAAAAGAGACUACUCAUACAAUUGUGUCAGAAUUGAGUUAAAUUGUAGGACAACCAGCUGGUAUCCCAGAGAACUGCUUGGUGGGAGAAAACGCCCAUGCAUUUGGUGGCAGAGGAUGUAUCAGGUCACAGGAGAGAGGAGACUGGUUAUCAAGAAAGAACAAAAAAACUUACAAGAAAACACUGAAGACAGUGCAGGAGUACAAGAAGUAUAUAAAAUUAAUUUGGAGUAUUUCCUGAAGGUAGGUUUUGAAGGGAACCAGGAGAGAGGAAUCCCUGGUUUAGGGGUCAUAUAUCCUUCUCUACUUGAAGUAGAACCUAGCUCAAAUAGGAAUAUUUCUAAUCUUUAUCAUCUAAACUGAGCCUGGUGCCAGGAGCUUGGAUGCUGAUCCUGACUGCAGUGACCAGGUUUCAUACACCCCAAUCAAACCCUUUAAAGCAUCUCCUCAUGUAGGAGCAGUUGAGAAGUACUUUUGAGGAAAACAAUUUUAACAAAUACCUCCAAAGCAAAACUAUAACUUCAUCAUAAUUCCUUUAUUUCUUUUGAAAUGGGUUUUAAACCAGAAUAACUGUUUCUAAUUGUUAGAAAUAUUUUAAAUAAUUGUUAGUAAUAAUCUUUACUAAUCAUUAAAAGAGAAACACAUACAUUAGUCUUUUUGAAAGUAUCAUUUCUGAUCUUUUGCUCAGUAUGUGAGUUGCUGUUUUACACCUUAUUUUGUGACAAAGGUGUGGUACUCAUGUUCCCCACCCCCAUGCCCCCCAAACCAAUACUAGACUCCUCUAGAAUAGUGGAAGAACAGAAGUUAAAGGCAACCCUACACUCCCAGCAAACACUCAUCAGGUAUCACCUGGAAACUGUUCAAGGCAAAAAACAAAAAUGUUUAAGGGGCCUCUAGCUUCUUGGAGUUAAUAAUCCAUUCUGCCUACCGCCUCCCAGUUAUUUCACUGCUAUGUGACAAUCACCUCUGCAUUGUAUCACGCACUGAUUUCAUUCCUGGUAACUGUUAAAGGACUGACCUUUUCAGAUGAUUGGCGCUUCUAAAUAAAUCAGAUCCAUUUGAGGUCAUGUCUGGGGGAAUAUUAAGCUUGCAUUCUCACAUGCCUUCUUGAGUGGGUAAAAAACAAUUGGAAUUUCUGUACAGAAUUGGGUGUGAUGUAUGAAAUGGAUCCUCUUACUCAGCUGCAACCCAGAGUGAGGCAAAUAUUUCAAGAAAAACAUUUGAUGUGCAUUUUUCUGGGCUUUGUCAAUACCUGAAAACAAGAGGCAGUUUCUUCCAAGGAAGAGAUCAUGGAUGGUUGGUCUGAGGAACACAGAGAUUCCAGAUAGAUUUUCCCUCCCUCAGCUUGGGGUGCCACAUCUUCCUUAUCCACCCACCAAAGUCCUCAGAAGUCUUCUAUUACUAGCUUCUAUUACUAGUCUUCCUCCUUGAAACCUCAGUCACUGUCAGCACUGAUUUGUCUUUGCCUUGGAAUUCAUUGUGGUACAGCUAUCCCUAGUGUUACUCCUUUCCUCAUCUCUCAGUUUCACCUCACCCCCAGCAGUAUCUUGAGAGACCCCAGUAGAGUAUGAACAGCUGCAGGAUGCAGCAGAUGUGAGCAGCCACAGAGGAAAUCGAAGUCUCAGUGAAAUCCUAUAUGGAAACCCAGGCAAGCUGUGAAAUCGAAAUUAAGAAAGGUAGAAAAAAAAUGUAAAAUGUUGAAGAUUUAGCCUGAUAAAUUUUGAGCAAAAGAAGAAAGAAACAUGAUAUAGUGGAUAAGGCAGAACUUAGGGCUCAAAUCUGAGUGAAGUUUACAAAGUCCACUCAACCAGAUCCCUAGAGAAGAGAUAGAGCCAAGAAAAUGUUAGAAACUUGGUUGUAGAUUUUACAAGAUUGAACCAAGAGGGCCAAGUCUGGGGUAAUGGAAAAUAGAGUAGGCACUCCAAGAAUAAUACAUUGUUUUCUCAUUUAAAGGAAGCACGAUCUGAAAAGUAUGGGAAAGUGCAAGUUUAGGCCAUGUGUUGAGAGAUGCCAUGGCAUAUCAUUAUGCCUUGAGUUCAGCUGCUACCUCCGCCACAAAGUUCUGUGCCCAUGGGCAAUUCUUUAACCUCUUGACGCCUAAGUUCCUCCGCCUGCCAAAUGGGAAAUGAUUAAUGGCCACCUCAUGGUAUUCUUGUAAAGACUGGAGGAGUUGCCAGCAAUGGUGCCUGGUACAUAAUGUUGGGCCUCUGUCCUCAGGCUGCACACAGCCCAUUGAAGAAACUGGUCAGCAGCUUCGCAAAACAACCCAGGCCAUGGAAGAAGGCCCUUCAGGGCCCCAGAGCUCAGAACUUGACCUGAAGCUUUGACCAGGAGGUAACAUUUGUCCUUCCUAUUAACCAAAUGUAAGGGAACUGUUGGAACAGCAAGGACACAGGAAGGAUUGAAUCAUUUCACUAAACCAUCCAUUUGUGAGCCAUUUCAAAUUUACCAAUUUCCUGCUGGGGCAGUGGGAGAGGGAAAAUGAGAAGAAAAACCAAGUCCAGUGGUCUUAAUUCUGAGGGCCUACAUGGGGCAGGGAAUAUGCUUUGAUUGAAAGGCAAGACUUUUCUCUGGGAUAUGUAGAAUUGGAGGCAAGGGGAGGCAGGAGGGAGAGUUUGGGAAUGUAGGCUCUGGAGGAGGGAAGUAGGAAGUGAGUUCUGUCCUCCCAGUGGGCUUUCCCUCCCCAAGCAGAUCACUAGCACAGACGGGAGUGACUAUUAGGAGAGAUGGGGGUUCCGUUCAAAAGCUGGAUGGGCUGGUGACUGUCCCUUUGCCACAGAGCUAGAGUGGCAGUGCAGCAUGCAUCCCAGAGGUCUGGCAUGCCAAGCUCCAGGAGGACCCCAAGGUCAAGUGGACAGAGCAGGAACAGGGUUUGUGCCAUCUCGCCAAUCUACUGCCCUGUCUGAGAGGGUGCUCUCCAGAUGAGGUCCAUCAAGGGCCUGUGGGGUGUGUAGCCAGCAAUGAAAACUGAGGGGAGCAGAAGGAAGCUGAGCCAGAUGUUCCCCCUUAUUCCCAUCAACGAUGCCCACAUCCUGUCCAGCCUACAUCCAUCCAUCAGAUUUAGGAACUUCAAAGUAGAGACAGGGUGUACAGCCAGUUGAGUUGCCAGAUAAAACACAGGACACCCAAUUAAAUUUGAACUUCAGACAAACAAGGAAUAAUUGUUAUUGCAUGAGACAUACACUAAAAAAAGACUAUUCCUUGUUUAUCUGAAAUUAAAAUCUUACUGGCUGUCCUGAUUUUUUUUUAAUUGUUUUGCUAAAUCUGGUAUUUCUAGUAACAGGACAACAUGCUAAAUGAAUCUCAACAUUUUUGAGGAUGGUAUUAAAGUAGUAGGGUCUUGUCAUGUCUGGGCAAUUGUAGCAACUUCCAGAAGUGGUGCUGAGUUCUCCAGGCUCUGGGAUUUUGUUACUGACUCCCAGGUGACAGUUCCCUUUCCAAGCACCUGUCCCCUCUUCCCUCUGGGAGCUAUGAGAGAAAAGAAAAAAGAAAUAUACUAUACAAGCUGAUUUGAUGGGCCAGCCAAAGGAACCGGCAGUAACUCAGGGGUUUCAAACUGUGGGUCACAACUUCUGCAGGUUGUGAACCCAGGUCAUGCCAGCAUGAAUAGGGGAUAGGGUGGAUUAGGGAAGGAGAUCAGAGUGUACAGCCUGUAUUUUUUUUUCAACUGCUCUCCCUUUUUAAUCAAUUUUACACAAUGAUAUUGUACAUGAGUAAUCACAGUAAGAGACAGGAUGGGUUUCCUGUACACAUACAAGACGUACAAGCUCAUUCACUGAGGCUUUUAGAAGGUUUUAUCAGUACAAAACUUGUUAAUACAGGUGAAGCCCAAGAAUACAGUAGACAUGACAGAACAUCAACUCAGCAGAGGUGAAUUCUUAAGGCAUUUGUCUCCUGCCCACACUGUCUGCCAUGAACCAAGUAUAGAGGACUUUCUCUCUCGGGUAUUUAACCUUUGAUGAGCACAGGCCUGUGGGACAUGCAGCUUUGCAGUGACCCCACAGCUCAACCACACCAACCUUGACACAAGCAAAGGAUAUCUUCCUUUCUCCAAGUAUUCUCAAGAGUAAAAAAGCUAUUCCUGGUCACCCUACUCCUUUGGGUAACCUACAUUCUAAAAUAUAUGAUUAUUAAUCUGGUAACAUUCUCAAGCAUUUUUGGCAAGAUAUCUCAAAUAUCUCAUCACUGUUCAUCUACUCACUAAAAAUUCUUUGAGCUUCAUAAAUAUUGUUUCUGAUUUUCCCCCCAAAGUAUGACAAUUACAUACAGAAUAAACGUGCUAGAGUUAACAGAACUAAACAGAGGGCAGACUUUUCCUUACAAAAUGAAGCAGGAAUGGAGAUACAAGAGAAUAGUCUAGUAUACACAUUAAUGGAGGAAGCUGAGUCCACUAAUGAUUCUGUCACUUCUACCCAAUCCACUAACAGUUCUGAGCGAGUGUGUUUCUACUUUCCUUUUUCACACCCAAUCUCAUCAGCCACAGGAACUGUUAAAAGUUCACAAUGUUGGCCUUCACUCGGCCCAUGGAAUUCCCAUGAUACGCAAUGGGGAAACUGCCCACCAGCCCUCACAGUCAGCUACUGCUUCCCAUGGCCAGAGCUAGACCUCAUCACUGCCUGGGAUGGGUUUUAGUUCUCUCACUUACAUACCUCAGGAACAUAGAGGUUGAAAGACUACAUUAAACAAAGGCUUCCAGGACAUGUUAGGGAAAGAAAAACCCAUGCAUCACAUCCACAUCUAUUUUCCAUCCUUCACAAAGCCUAACCCUCUUACAACAAAACAGGCUUUUGUAAGCAGGUUUUUAAAAAGAUAAAGCAGGAGAAAUCAGUAACUGGCUGUGAUUUGACCUAAAGUAGAGAAAGAAAACAAAAUGUUUGCUAGAUUUUAAAAAUGACAAUUUUACAAAGACAAUCUUCAAUCUGUAAUUCUAUUACUUAACUGUCUCUAGAAGCAGAGUAUUAAUACAAAAUAAAAACUGAUUUUUUCAUUAGACAAUUCCACAGAAUUUCAAUGAACAUUUAACAUUAAUUAUUUUAGUAAAUUUUAUGUAAUAAUCCGUGACUACCGAAGGUUUCCUAUGUGUGAUUCUAUACUUUUGCACAAUCCUUCAUAUAAACUAGGUACUGGGAGGAAGUGUGGUAAGAAACAGCCAAAGGACAGCUGUUCCUCUUUCCUGAAAGUAAAAUCAAAUUACUACCUAUCUCACACCCACCACUGCCAUGCACACAGUUGUUUAGUUGCUGAGUCGUGUCUGACUCAGUGACCCAGUGGACUAUAGCCCGCCAGGCUCCUCUGUCCAUGGGAUUUCCCUGACAAGAAUAUUGGAGUGGGUUGCCAUUUCCUUCUCUACUGCUUGUAUUUUAUCUCAAAAAAAUCUUGUAUCUCUGAGUUAUUGUGUGUAUACAUGACUAACAAUAUUUCUUACUGUAGUCAGGGUCCAAAAUGUUUGAAAGACACUAAUGAUGAUGUUGAGGCUUGCAGGACAUUAUUGUGAAAACUAUUGGAUCAACAGCCAGGAUGAGUUGGUUUCACACCCAUGGGUUAGGGUAAGCUUUGCCUUGUUCUGGAAAAAUCACCCUCUGGAACCAUCUUAUCUUUUCAUGGAAUCUUCAGUCCCUGCAUAUAAAUGGCCAAUGUUUAAUUUAAAUCAUUUAAAGUUCCCAGGUUUGUUCAUUUUGUUUACUGUACUGUAAUAACUUAUUAAAAACAUACAUGGAAUUGAACAUUGUUGCACCUGGUCUUAGGCAUUAAAUAUAAGUUAUAAUGUGGGACUAAAGGCAUUGUCCAAAUGGCCAUAGUGGGUUUUUUAAAUUUAUUUUUUUAUUGCAGGAUAAUUGCUUUACAGAAAACCAUAGUGGUUUUAACAUUUGUUUUAUUUCCUCCUCUAAAGGAAAGGUUUUUCACUGAAAAAUCCAUGGAGAUUACUUGGGAUAAUUCCCCAAAGCUACCCUAAAUGGUUUUGACAGAGUCAUAAUUUCUCUCAUGCAAAGAAUAUAUGAUGCUUUUACUUAGAAAGUGGAAGAAGAAAUGUUUGCAGUUGUACUUUGAAUUUUUAAAAAAUUCCUAUAACAAUUAGCUCUUGAUUCAGAAAUUAUAAAUAAAGCUAUUUUAUCAUCCAGUGUCACUGAAA